rnacentral:rRNA from 1 species
AGAGUUUGAUCCUGGCUCAGGACGAACGCUGGCGGCGUGCUUAACACAUGCAAGUCGAGCGGUAAGGCCCUUCGGGGUACACGAGCGGCGAACGGGUGAGUAACACGUGAGCAAUCUGCCCUUCACUUUGGGAUAACCACCGGAAACGGUGGCUAAUACCGGAUACGACCAUCCCAGGCAUCUGGUGGUGGUGGAAAGUUCUGGCGGUGGAGGAUGAGCUCGCGGCCUAUCAGCUUGUUGGUGGGGUAAUGGCCUACCAAGGCGACGACGGGUAGCCGGCCUGAGAGGGUGACCGGCCACACUGGGACUGAGACACGGCCCAGACUCCUACGGGAGGCAGCAGUGGGGAAUAUUGGACAAUGGGCGAAAGCCUGAUCCAGCAACGCCGCGUGAGGGAUGACGGCCUUCGGGUUGUAAACCUCUUUCAGUAGGGACGAAGCUAACGUGACGGUACCUACAGAAGAAGCACCGGCCAACUACGUGCCAGCAGCCGCGGUAAUACGUAGGGUGCGAGCGUUGUCCGGAAUUAUUGGGCGUAAAGGGCUCGUAGGCGGUUUGUCACGUCGGGAGUGAAAACUCGGGGCUUAACCCCGAGCCUGCUUCCGAUACGGGCUGACUAGAGGUAUGCAGGGGAGAACGGAAUUCCUGGUGUAGCGGUGAAAUGCGCAGAUAUCAGGAGGAACACCGGUGGCGAAGGCGGUUCUCUGGGCAUUACCUGACGCUGAGGAGCGAAAGUGUGGGGAGCGAACAGGAUUAGAUACCCUGGUAGUCCACACCGUAAACGUUGGGCGCUAGGUGUGGGACUCAUUCCACGAGUUCCGUGCCGCAGCUAACGCAUUAAGCGCCCCGCCUGGGGAGUACGGCCGCAAGGCUAAAACUCAAAGGAAUUGAUGG